UACGUAGGGGGCAAGCGUUGUCCGGAUUUACUGGGCGUAAAGGGCUCGUAGGCGGCCAACUAAGUCAGACGUGAAAUCCCUCAGCUUAACUGGGGAACUGCGUCUGAUACUGGAUGGCUUGGAUCCGGGAGAGGGAUGCGGAAUUCCAGGUGUAGCGGUGAAAUGCGUAGAUAUCUGGAGGAACACCGGUGGCGAAGGCGGCAUCCUGGACCGGUAUUGACGCUGAGGAGCGAAAGCCAGGGGAGCAAACGGG
rnacentral:rRNA from 1 species